GAGUGGGUUACAUAAAUGGAAGAGGAGAACUCAAUUAGGGGAGAGACUCAGAAGAGAAGAAUAAGAAGCAUUGUGUUCAUGUGGGAAAAGUCUGGUGAAGGAAUGGAGAGAGGUGACUUGGCCAGAAGGCUGGGCUGUGGAAGGCAUAGCUAGAGGUAGACUGUCUCGGGCUCAGAGAAGAGGUCAACACAGGGUGUCCUGGAUGAAGCUUCCUGUGAUGCUAUGCUUGUAUGUUGGGGGUGCUACCAUAAUAGUCAUUAAGAAAACACUUUCUCUGGUGCCCUGAGGUUCCUCUGUAUGGAAAAGCAGUUAUACUCAGAGGGCUGCUGAUCAGGCUUGCUUUGGAAGACUGUGUGGUUCCAGAGGAGAUGCUGUGAGUGAGAGGACCUUCCCAGGUGUAAACCUCAGGCACUGGGACAUGGAGAGGACUGCUAAGAGCUGUAAAUUGGUAAGAGAUCCUAGGAAGACAGAAGCACAAGGAAGCUGUUUAUUGGCAAAGGGCAAUGAUGUCUUACCUGAGGUUUUUGCAAAAAGACAGUUGCCUGUAUGCAGUUUACUAUCUCUGUGGAACCCCUAGAGAAGGAGGUUAAUGCAAACUCUCCAGCUCCAUUUAAGCCCCCCCAAAAAAACCUUGUGACAAGAUCCCCAGAGGAGAGGGUCAUUGUUUGCUUACUAUCUGUUAGAGAAGGUGAAGGUAAAAAAUCUGAGCUAUGUAAAGAAUUGUCUGACCUGCCCAGCAUUUGUGGUUCUGGAUCUAAGACUGAUGAACUUGUGACCAUGGGGAAAACCCAGUUGAGGCUUUUGAAGGACUAAAACUACCAAAGCCCUAGGUUGGAGUUGGGAGUUGAUGUCUGGUAAGCUUUUAAGCAUACAUGUAGGUUAUUUUGUUUUUCCUUUUCCUUCUCUUCUCUCAUCUUCCCCCCACGUAAUGCUUUUUUACCUUUUAGAAUAGAUGUACAUCCUUUGAAGGAGUUGUGUUGUAACUUCUAACUGUGGGCAAUACACUGGUCACAGACCUUGGAGAGCUAGCAAAGCACAGGUGCUGGCCUUUUAGACAAUCUCAUUCGCUGGGGAUAUUAUAGUAUAAGGCACAGAGCGGUGCAGCUUUAAAAUCCUUAGUCAGGAGGAAGUGAGAUGCAGGUCUCUGCCCAAGAGAUGUGCCAGCUGGGAGUCACUCCUAAAGUUGGAGCACUGGGUGGACCACAGAUGUGGAAUACAGGUUCAGUUACCUUGAAACUGUGAAGUUGACAGUCACUUUGCUCAGAAUCUUGGAUAUUGACUGAAAGUUUAUUUUCAGAGGAAAAUUCUCUGAAGGCAUUAACGUUUUAUAGGACCUAUUUCAGUCUAAGACCAUUCAGAGAAACAAAUGUUCAUUUUUAAAUGACUUCUAUGCUCCCAGAGUAUAAAUAUUAAAAGCAUUAAUCCUGAUGGAUGGUCCCAUAAACUUGAGAAUGCAGGCUCAAAACACAUUCCUUGUUUUCCUUUCUCUGUUUAGUCUAAUUUGCAUUCAAUAGACUAUAAACCCUCUCUAUUUAGUUGUCCUCUUAUUCAUGUCUUGCUGUUAUUUUUAACUCUUAAGUGUCAGCAGCUCUGGCUUGAAAAGUUGUCACCUGUAUUCCCUUUCAUUGUUAGGAGCCAACUUCACAUUUGGUUGGCUUAUUUAUCUAAUGUCAUGUAGGGUUCUUCACUGAAAUAUAUAAAUCAUCCUAACUGAUUUGUGCUUUGUCACCCUCUGAACUUGAGCCUGAUUUUAUUAAUCCAUAAGUGAAAAUAUAAAGUAGGAAUUGAUAAGAAAUAAUUGAGCUGAAUAGUCUUUAAUAGGCAUAGUUUUCUUCAGAAAACUUGCUAACUGACAGUAAAAUGGGGAAGAAGCUUUUGAAAUUGUCAUUCAAAAGUCAUAUUCCAAUAUCAUACAAUAAAUUCUAUUUAAUCCAUAUUAUAAUGUAAAAUAUUAAAAGUAGGCCCCCUACCCUAUAGAUUUUUUUUUACAGAUAAAAGCCUAUAUUUUCUAUUAUGUGCUAUAGUUAAAGAAAACACAUGACUCUCCUGUUCAUGGUGGUGUUUCUGCCUAAAACACUAUCCUUGAGAAAUGUUAUGCUGUGUACAGACCAUACACCCUCUUUUUAAACCACUGAAUCAUACAAGCAAGAUGUUUCCAAUUGUUCAGAGCUAAUGAAGACUUCUGUUUAAAAAUGGAAUGAUGGAAUGACUUUUCAUGUUGUCGUUGCAGACAUCAUUCAGAGAACACUUGUGUGUGUGUUUAUAGUUAGGAAGCACAAUGAAAAUGCUAAGAAGUUCUUGGGUUCAAAAAGAAAAUGGUACUACAAAAAACCUUUGGAAUUACUUUCAAUUUUACUAAAAUUUUAAGCAUCUUAGAUCUUGUAUAUUUAAUGCUCAUUGUACAGCAGCAUGAAACUGCUUGCAGUACUGUGUAAUGUUAAAGUAAGAAAGCAAAAAGCUGUAUGUC